UGGGGAAUUUUGGACAAUGGGCGAAAGCCUGAUCCAGCAAUGCCGCGUGUGUGAAGAAGGCCUUCGGGUUGUAAAGCACUUUUGUCCGGAAAGAAAUCCUUGGCUCUAAUACAGUCGGGGGAUGACGGUACCGGAAGAAUAAGCACCGGCUAACUACGUGCCAGCAGCCGCGGUAAUACGUAGGGUGCAAGCGUUAAUCGGAAUUACUGGGCGUAAAGCGUGCGCAGGCGGUUUGCUAAGACCGAUGUGAAAUCCCCGGGCUCAACCUGGGAACUGCAUUGGUGACUGGCAGGCUAGAGUAUGGCAGAGGGGGGUAGAAUUCCACGUGUAGCAGUGAAAUGCGUAGAGAUGUGGAGGAAUACCGAUGGCGAAGGCAGCCCCCUGGGCCAAUACUGACGCUCAUGCACGAAAGCGUGGGGAGCAAACAGGAUUAGAUACCCUGGUAGUCCACGCCCUAAACAAUGUCAACUAGUUGUUGGGGAUUCAUUUCCUUAGUAACGUAGCUAACGCGUGAAGUUGACCGCCUGGGGAGUACGGUCGCAAGAUUAAAACUUAAAGGAAUUGACGGGGUCAUAGC
rnacentral:rRNA from 1 species